rnacentral:rRNA from 1 species
UACGAAGGGGGCUAGCGUUGUUCGGAGUUACUGGGCGUAAAGGGCGCGUAGGCGGCGCAUCAAGUCAGGCGUGAAAGCCCUGGGCUCAACCCGGGAAUUGCGCUUGAGACUGGUGUGCUCGAGUACGGGAGAGGAUAGUGGAAUUCCCAGUGUAGAGGUGAAAUUCGUAGAUAAUUGGGAAGAACACCAGUGGCGAAGGCGGCUAUCUGGACCGUAACUGACGCUGAGGCGGCGAAAAGCGUGGGGAGCAAACAGGG